UACAGAGGUCUCAAGCGUUGUUCGGAUUCAUUGGGCGUAAAGGGUGUGUAGGUGGCGCCGUAAGUCGGGUGUGAAAUUUCGGAGCUUAACUCCGAAACUGCAUUCGAUACUGCGGUGCUUGAGGACUGGAGAGGAGACUGGAAUUUACGGUGUAGCGGUGAAAUGCGCAGAUAUCAGGAAGAACACCCGUGGCGAAGGCGGCUCUCUGGGACGGUACUGACGCUGAGACGCGAAAGCGUGGGGAGCAAACAGG
rnacentral:rRNA from 1 species